rnacentral:lncRNA from 1 species
AUCACCACCAUGUUGGAGUUUGAGAAGGAGUGCUGCCCUAAACGGAGUAUACACAGUAUGUGUCCGGGCCUUAAAAGGUGAAGAAUAUUUAGACAGAUGAAGAGCAUUCCAGGUGGAAAGAACCAUAUAAGCAGACACUGGAAAGCAGGGUUUCUUCAAACACCUUUGAUAUACUGCAAGGGCUCUUUCUGAAGGAUGAGGAGGGAGAAGGUGGCCCAGGAGUCCACUGCGAGAUCCGAGGCAAGAGCAGAGCGGGGAUCAGGAGGCUUGAAGCAACCUGAAGGCAGGUGAGGCUUCUGCUUCUCUGCACCCUACAGCUCCUAGUACCCAGUAGCUGUUAACUGAUGGAAUAAAUGGGUGGGUGGAGUUUUUCUUCUUCACAGGCUUGCACCAAAUCUUGUAAGCCCUUCUGUAAAUGGGUGCAAUUAACAUGGAGAUGUUGAUUUUCUGUAGAUUUUCUGCCUGGCAGCCUAGUGUACUAUGCUUCCCUUGACACUCAUUCAGAGUCCUCACAGGGAGAGAAAUGUGGGCCAAUGUUUGGGGAGGCCCAGUCCUGCCCCUGACCCUGGCCUUAUUCUCUCAGGCAGAGAAGCCAAGGUAGACCCUCUGGGGAAAGUCCAGGCCCCCUCCCUCCUGACAUGCCUCUUACUCCAUCCCCUUUGGCUCAGCAAGUCUCCAAAGAAAAAUUCCCACACCACUUUCUGUCCUUCAGCAGGAAAGAGCUGAUGUCUACUGGAUGCCUGAAGCAACACCUUAAUCUCAAUCUCCCCUGCUGGGAGCAGAUGCAGCGGGGUCCAGACAGACAGAGGCAAGGACUGCAGAGGGAAGGCCCCUUCUCCUGGAGCUGCCCCAAAAGCGGCCACCGGGGCCAUUCUUCUUCCUAGAAAGAACAUCUUUCUGCUUCCUAGUCAAGCUGCUGGACACUGCAGGUCAGGUUCACCCGCCUGACCACUGCAAAUCUCUUAGCUCAUUUUACUCCCCUCUGUUUUCUAACAGUGAUUCAGCUGGGUGAAUCAGGAGCCAG